AAUAUUCGUUUCGAAAAAAAUGUGAAGCAAUACUUACUGUGUUGCAGCGAUGCAUUUGAAGAGAGAACGCAUAGGCAGUCCUCUAUCAGUCGUGCCUUUGUCACUGUUAAUGAAACAGUAUAUUCAUUGAUUUGCCGUCAAUUUUUGCAAAAGUUGAAGCCUGUACUAGCGCUGUUUCGUUGCAAUAGAGUACCUAAGCCUCUUCGGGGAAACUACAAAACUUUUUUCUUUACCAAAGCGUUUUGAGAAAUCGAUCCACGUUUGCAUUAUAUAGCCAGCAAGUUCGGGUAUGAAAUCAUUUCUUUAUCAAGAAGGCAAAAUGAAUAAGUCAGCGCUUCACCUCAUGCUUGUCGUCGGACUCCUUGUUAUUAGCACAUCUAACAAUAUGUGUUGUGCGAAAAAAUGGAGCACUUGGAGAAAAUAUAAUCAACCAAAGCCUUAAACUGUUGAAGACUUGUUGCAAGAAUUGAACGAUGAUAUUGUGGCUGAAAGGUUUAACGAUACCCCCCUGAUUAUUAGAAGAUCCCGCAAAUGCAAAAUAUGGUUGUCAACAUAAAUAAACCACGAUG